rnacentral:rRNA from 1 species
CCUACGGGGGGCUGCAGUGAGGAAUAUUGGUCAAUGGACGAGAGUCUGAACCAGCCAAGUAGCGUGAAGGAUGACUGCCCUAUGGGUUGUAAACUUCUUUUAUAUGGGAAUAAAAUGUUCCACGUGUGGGAUUUUGUAUGUACCAUAUGAAUAAGGAUCGGCUAACUCCGUGCCAGCAGCCUCGGUAAUACGGAGGAUCCGAGCGUUAUCCGGAUUUAUUGGGUUUAAAGGGAGCGUAGGUGGAUUGUUAAGUCAGUUGUGAAAGUUUGCGGCUCAACCGUAAAAUUGCAGUUGAAACUGGCAGUCUUGAGUACAGUAGAGGUGGGCGGAAUUCGUGGUGUAGCGGUGAAAUGCUUAGAUAUCACGAAGAACUCCGAUUGCGAAGGCAGUUCACUGGACUGCAACUGACACUGAGGCUCGAAAGUGUGGGUAUCAAACAGGAUUAGAUACCCGUGUAGUC